rnacentral:tRNA from 12 species
GCCCAUGUAGCUCAGUGGUAGAGCACACCCUUGGUAAGGGUGAGGUCGUCGGUUCGGCUCCGAUCAUGGGCUCCA